AGAUUGAACGCUGGCGGCAGGCCUAACACAUGCAAGUCGAGCGGUAGAGAGGUGCUUGCACCUCUUGAGAGCGGCGGACGGGUGAGUAAUGCCUAGGAAUCUGCCUAGUGGUGGGGGAUAACGUUCGGAAACGGACGCUAAUACCGCAUACGUCCUACGGGAGAAAGCGGGGGACCUUCGGGCCUCGCGCCAUUAGAUGAGCCUAGGUCGGAUUAGCUAGUUGGUGAGGUAAUGGCUCACCAAGGCGACGAUCCGUAACUGGUCUGAGAGGAUGAUCAGUCACACUGGAACUGAGACACGGUCCAGACUCCUACGGGAGCAGCAGUGGGGAAUAUUGGACAAGUGGGACGAAAGCC
rnacentral:rRNA from 1 species